GGUCAGCAGUCGACGCCCGCAGGGGAGUGGAGACGGGUGAGUACGCGUGGGAACAUACCCUUUCCUGCGGAAUAGCUCCGGGAAACUGGAAUUAAUACCGCAUACGCCCUACGGGGGAAAGAUUUAUCGGGGAAGGAUUGGCCCGCGUUGGAUUAGCUAGUUGGUGGGGUAAAGGCCUACCAAGGCGACGAUCCAUAGCUGGUCUGAGAGGAUGAUCAGCCACAUUGGGACUGAGACACGGCCCAAACUCCUACGGGAGGCAGCAGUGGG
rnacentral:rRNA from 1 species